CGCAUUUUCCACCAAUUGCGUAACGUCUGCGGAUCCGCUCCGGAACGGCGGCGGAGUCAAUAGGUUUCCAUUAAAGUCAAUAUGUGUAUUUCCACGGACUGUGGAAACGGCUGCUCGGCAGUCC